UCUCAACAAUAGAUGUGUGCGUUAUGAUGUCUUCAACUGGAUAUUCGAAAUUAAGAUGUGGAUGCAACGGUUUGAGGAUGUUCGUUUUAACUGGGUUCCUAGAAAACUCAACAAUCCUGCAGAUUGUCUUGCAAAUCUUCAACGUUUUUCUAUUUCUGAUUUUGUUUACCAUCACUCUAUCCCUUCUGUUAUUCUUGAUGCCGUAAACAAUGACUAUUGUAGUCUUUAUUAAUAUAUUGCAGAUUUGUGUUAAAAAAAAAAAAACAAAAAUGUUGUAACGAUUAUCCAGAAAUGUUGGGCCUAAUAUUUUUAAUCGUUAAGCCCAUAUAAUAACAGUUAGCAGACUUUGGUGCGUAUACUUCACCGUCUUCUACUAGAAAAA
rnacentral:lncRNA from 1 species